rnacentral:rRNA from 1 species
GACGAACGCUGGCGGCGCGCUUAACACAUGCAAGUCGUGCGGUGUCGAAGGCAAGUCUUACGACAAGCCUUCGACACAGCGGCGAACGGGUGAGUAACACGUGAGUAGCUGUCCUAAGGAGGGGGAUAACGCCUGGAAACGGGUGCUAACACCCCAUAUGCCUCGCAAGAGGUGAAAGUGUACUUGCUACAGCCUUAGGGUGUGCUCGCGGCCUAUCAGCUAGUUGGUGAGGUAACGGCUCACCAAGGCCAAGACGGGUAGCCGGCCUGAGAGGGUGUACGGCCACACUGGAAUUGAGAUACGGUCCAGACUCCUACGGGAGGCAGCAGUGGGGAAUCUUGGGCAAGUGGGCGAAAGCCUGACCCAGCGACGCCGCGUUGGGGAUGAAGCCCUUCGGGGCGUAAACCCAUGUUGUAGGGGACGAAGAAAGUGACGGUACCUACGAGAAACGCCCGGCAACUACGUGCCAGCAGCCGACGGUAAAAGUACUCUAU